GCCUUGGGGAAGCCACCCUGGCUUGUGCGGCACCAGGAGACAGUGCUCUGGCACUAUGGCCUCCACCUCCUCCUCUGCCGGCACUGCUUUCAGAAGUGCCACGACAGAAGGAGAAAGACAAAGAGCAGUGAUGCGCAGGGUCAAGGUAAGUUGGUGCAUCUUUUGGUUUCGUUUUUGGGUCCCAUGCUCUCAUGUGAGCCAACUGACCCCCGCUACAGAGCAGGAUGAAAACGCACCUGUCUUUUUAUAUGCAACAACAGUGGCAAGAGUAUUGUUAGCCCAGAAAUGGAAGCAAGAAGAAAUCCCGACGAAAGAAGAAUGGCAGAUAAAAUUAAUGGACCACGCAGAAUUAGAUAAAAUGACAGGAAGGAUUUGAAACCUGCGGGACCAGAGAUUCACAGAAGAUUGGAAGAAAUAUACGAACUAUUUGAAAAGCAAUUGUAAUCAACAAAUCACACUAGUAGGACUACAAGAAGUUUUGUAAGGAGAAAUAUAUGAAAUACUGCACAGUAGAGAAAGAAUAGGACAUUGGUUAUGAGAUUUAAAUGUAAUAGUGAAAGUAAGAAAUGUAUAUUAAGUGAAUAGAUUGGAAAAUUUUCAGAUGUGAUUGAUGGAAGUAAAAAAAAAUGGUAUAAGAUAUGAAAAUAUGUUUAACUAUUGUUGAAAAUGAUGUGUUGAAAACUAAUAUCUAUCUACAGUGGUGCCUCGCAAGACGAAAUUAAUCCGUUCCGCGAGAGUCUUCGUCUAGCGGUUUUUUCGUCUUGCGAAGCAAGCCCAUUGACGGAUUAGCGCUAUUAGCGCUAUUAGCGGUUUAGCGGCUAUUAAAGGCUUAAAGGCUUAGAGGAUUAGCUGCUAAAAGGCUAUUAAAGGCUAUUAAAGGCUUAGCAGAUUAGAUAAAGGGGGGGGAAAGCGAAAAAAAAAUCUCUAGACUCGCAAGAUAUUUUCGUCUUGCGAAGCAAGCCCAUAGGGGAAUUCGUCCUGCGAAGCAACUUCAAAACGGAAAACCCUUUCGUCUAGCGGUUUUUCCGUCUUGCGAGGCAUUCGUCUUGCAGGGCACCACUGUAUCAUCUAUCUAUCUAUCUAUCUAUCUAUCUAUCUAUCAUCUAUCUAUCUAUCUAUCUAAAAAAAAACCCACGCACCUAUCUUUUGGUCUUGUGCUCUGAGAUGGCCGGAGCACAGAAGCCUACAUGGGACAUCUGGAAAUGGGAUCAGAGCUGGGGUGGCUUCUCUCAACCCUGGAUUUUGUGUGCAAAACAGGACAGUUGGAGGGUAUUCCAGCAUAGCUGGGGUGGGAUACCACCUCAAAAGUCAUCCCAGACUAUGCUCCAGCACCAGAAUUCCAGCCUUAAUUCAGGGGGGAUCUCCACAGGAAGGGUUUGGGGGCGGGGAUGUAUCAGAGGGGGAAUAUUAUGGGAAUGUUAAGGAUUGUAGGAAAGGAUAUAUUGAAUAAGUGUUAUCCUUCUUUCACUCACGCUAGUAAGUGAUGUAGCAGAGCAAAAUCCCCUCAAUAUAGCUGGAAGCUAGUUUGCAGAUUCGUUUGAAUCUCUUCGUUCAGAUUAUUUCCUGGUGUCCCCUUUUGAUCCCUCUUAAAAGAAUAAAGACACGAGAGUCUUUCUGAGUAAAGUAACAAAAUGUUUACUCACAUUUCAGUUCACGGUUUGAUCUCUGAAAGGCUUUGCUUAGCAGUUGCACAAAGAAACUGUGUGAAUUCACCUCACAGGGAGGCUGAACUCAUGUGCUGCUGGCUGAGAGCCAGCAGACAGCAAAAUUACAUCAAGACAACAAAAUAGCUGCAGGAGAGCAGCAUGGUAGCAAAAGAUAGAACAACAAGCAAGUGAAAGACAGACUGAUCAAGACUGAGAAAAUGGCUGCAUGGCUCGGCUCCUUUAAGGAGUCAGGCGGGGCCAUGUCCACCUCCCAGAUCACAUGCAGGGGGAGAAAGCGCCAGACUUCCAGUGGAACAGGAAGUUACACUGACUGGGUGUCCCCCUGCUUGUGCCUAUUCUAGGUAAAGAAUGUUGCAUUUGACUGCACCCAUGGAUUACAUACCACAAAUAUCCUUGAUACUGGCUGCUGUGCCUGUCCAAGCCCCCACCCUUGAAACAGAGAUUUAGGGGAGUUAUGAGGGCUGUCAAAUAUGUCUGGCACCAUCCAUACUGUGCUCUCCUACACAUAAAUUUCACUUAGUAUGGUUUUCCCUUUGCAAAAACAGGCAAGUCCAAUGACACUCAUCCUCAUCUUGACAAAACUAAUUUUCCAUGCCUUAAGUUCAGCCAACCAUUUCUGGAACCUUUUUUUAUUAUUAAAGCCAUGCUAUCUUCCUGAAACAUCUGCAAAGAGACAUGAUCAGAAGGCAGACCUUUCUACCACCAUAGAUGGACAAGAAAGAACUUCUUAUAUCCCAGUAAGCUUCUCCAUGUUUGUGCAUACAUGGAUUGAAGAAGUAAUUUUGCACAAAGCAGCUAUAUCUAUUCGUGUAGCAAAUUUAAUUAUGUGUUCUUACACUAUUUCACUGGUAGAUUUGCAAAUACAUGCUGGGUGGUUUUCCAACCGAGGCUGCGAACAAGAAGAAUCAAUUAUUGGAAGACUGAGAGAAUCAGUUCUCCAGAUCAGCGCAGGUUUCUAAUUUGUUAGGUUUUUAUGAUGCUGGAAAUGCAGACUCAAGGCCAUGCAUUUAAUACACACUUUUCAAUGCCAUCACCAGUCAAAUGUGCCUUUUGUACACAUCGUUUAUGCAAACCACAUGCUUUUGUGCACUGAAAAUCUAUUGUAAAAUCUGGAGAAGCAUGAAUUCCAUUUGGUAGUUGCAUUCUUGAUCCAAAAUCACGCUCAGAAGCAUUGAGUUGGUCUUUAGCAAACAGCAGACCAAGCAAAUCCCUCGUCCCACCCUUCAGUUUAUGGCAAUCAAAACCAUGCAUGUAGAGCUGUGGAAAGACACUGACAUAAAAGCAGGUAAAAGGAGAAAUAAAGAGAAGACUGGGAGAAGAACCGUAGAUUUGUAGAGCUGGAAGGGACCACAUGGGUCAUUUGGUCCAACCUCAUGCAACACAGGAAUCUUUUGCCCAAUGUGGGGCUUGAACCCACAACCUUGAGAUUAGGAGUCUCAUGCUCUACUGACGGAGCUGCCUGCCCAAUCUGCCAAAUGUCAGAAAGGAAAGCACCAAGACAGAUGUUGAACCAACUCUUCUGAAAAGUGCAGAUAAGCCCAAAUUCCAACGCAGGGCGAUUCGCAAAAGCUACAGCAGUUUCUUAUUUUGAUGAUGAAUACCGUCUUCUCUCUCUUGCUCACAAACAUUUAAGUUCAGAUGUAAAACUAGAUCUACAGAAUAACACAGCUUUGCAUAUGAAAAAAUGCAAUGGCUACACCUCUGUUUUCUGCACGUGCAGGGUGCAGAAGGGAGUCCAACAUAGCUCUCCAUUCUGCAUAGGUUUUAUUUUCUGAGAACCCUCCCGAAAAAUAAUCACUCAAAGGACCUGUUGAUGGCAUUUUACCAUUAUACUGUUGAGAGUGUAUUAACUUGUGGUCUGUGUGUGUGGUUUGGGAGCUGCACGGUCAGGGGAAAAACAAUGCUGUCCAGAGUUGUAAAGACUGCAGAGAGAAUAAUUGGGUGCACUCUUCCCACCUUGGAUCAAAUCUAUGCGUCCAGGUGCCAUAAGAAAGCUGCAGAGAUAGUGCAGGAUAGUGCGCACCCAGGAAAUGAUCUCUUUCAGCUUCUGCCUUCUGGAAGAAGGUACAGGGUUAUAAAGACUAGGACUAGCUGCCUGAGAAACAGUUUCUAUCCAAAUGCAAUUUUCGUCCUAAACUCAGUGUAAGGUAGUCUCUAUGGGAGCAUAUUGUAUUUAAUUAUGGGGUAUCAGAGUUUUUAGGGGGUUAAACAGACUGGGAUAGCAGGGAUAGCAGGCUUGUUGGUUUUUGAAUGUCUGAUGUAGAUUUUUUUCAGUUUCGUUGUUCUGUAUGGGACAAUGACAAUAAAGAUUAUCGUAUCAUAUCAUACCGUAUCUGAGGAGACCCUUGGCCUCAAGCCUUUGGCUACCCACCCCAUGUCAGAACCCUUUAUAGUGAUGAGCAGUUCCUCAUAAGAACAUAAUUAGAGCCUUGCUGGAUCAGGCCAAAGGUCCACCUCAUCCAGCACCCUGCCCUUCUGGUAGCCAACCAAAUACCUCUAGGAAGCCUACAAGCAACAGUGCUUUCUCCAUUCGUGAUUCCCAGCAGCUGGUAUUCCGAGUCCCACUGUCUCCGACAGCCCCAUAGUCUGCCAUCUUUCAUUCUGAACCUCUGCUCCAUCAUGGCACCACACUGGAAAUGGCCUCACUGUUGCCACUCUGCAUCUGUUCUAUUUUCUUCUGAUGCCCCAUCCUAGUCUUCUCUGGACUCACUUCAGCUCCUCUUUCCACAAUUCCUAUCAUUUGAACCCUAAACAUCAGAAACAAUUGUAACUAGGCCCUUUCCCUCAAACUUGCUGGGACCAAUUCCUUCUUGCGUCCCUCCCUUCCUCUCAGGAUAGAUACCGUCAUUGGACAUUCUGCCUGGCCACUUGCAAAGCGAUAUCACCUGACCUCUGAGAUUACAAUGCUAUCUUAUUGCGCUGUGUCAAUUGUUAGACAAUCCAUUGACAGAGUGGCUUAUAAAUAAUCAAAAUGGAUUACUCGGCACUCAGAGUUGUACGUGCUUAAACAAUGAUGCUGAUGUUCAGAUUCCUCCCAUUUUUGCUCAUUUCCCCAGUACUCCUACCCACAUAAUCUCUUAUCUACAAUUGCAAUUCAGUACAGCCACCGUACUGUACUCCUUUUGCUCCCGAGGACUUGCC